AUUUACAUAAUAUAAAAAUUAUAUUUGACUUCCAAUCAAAAAAUCUAGCUUGCUAGUGUAAAUA
rnacentral:tRNA from 1 species